AUUGAACGCUGGCGGCAGGCCUAACACAUGCAAGUCGAGCGACCGGCGGACGGGUGAGUAAUGUAUGGGGACUGCCCGAUAGAGGGGGAUAACUACUGGAAACGGUAGCUAAUCCCGCAUACUAUCGGCUAACCUAUAUGGGAUUAGCUAGUGGGUGAGGUAAUGGCUUACAUAGGCGACGAUCCCUAGCUGGUCUGAGAGGAUGAUCAGCCACACUGGGACUGAGACACGGCCCAGACUCCUACGGAGGCAGCAGUGGGGAAUAUUGGACAAUGGGCGCAAGCCUGAUGCAGCCAUGCCGCGUGUAUGAAGAAGGCCCUAGGAUUGUAAAGUACUUUAAGUCGGGAGGCGUUACCAACAGAAGAAGCACCGGCUAACUCCGUGCCAGCCGCCGCGGUAAUAC
rnacentral:rRNA from 1 species